rnacentral:rRNA from 1 species
AGCAGCCGCGGUAAUUCCAGCUCCAAUAGCGUAUAUUAAAGUUGUUGCAGUUAAAAAGCUCGUAGUUGAAUUUCGGGGUCAAUAAGUUGGUCAUGCCAAUGGUAUGCACUGGCUUUAUUGAUUCCUACCUCUUGACGAACUGUGAUGCCAUUAAUUUGGUGUUGCAAGGAAUCAGGACUGUUACCUUGAAAAAAUUAGAGUGUUUAAAGCAAGCUUAUGCUUGAAUACAUUAGCAUGGAAUAAUGAAAUAGGACGUUUGAUCCUAUUUUGUUGGUUUCUAGGAUCGACGUAAUGAUUAAUAGGGAUAGUUGGGGGCAUUAGUAUUCAAUUGCCAGAGGUGAAAUUCUUGGAUUUAUUGAAGACUAACUACUGCGAAAGCAUUUGCCAAGGAUGUUUUCAUUAAUCAAGAACGAAAGUUAGGGGAUCGAAGACGAUCAGAUACCGUCGUAGUCUUAACCAUAAACUAUGCCGACUAGGGAUCGGAUGAUGUUAAUUUUUUAAUGACUCAUUCGGCGCCUUACG